AACGAACGCUGACGGCGUGGUUCAGGCAUGCAAGUCGAACGAUCCUUAUGGAUAGUGGCAAAAGGGUGAGUAACACGUGGAUAACCUUCCCUAAAUUUGGGGAUAACACUGCGAAAGCGGUGCUAAUACCGAAUGUGGUAGCAUAGUGAUUCUAUGUUAUUAAAGAUGGCCUCUUCUUGAAAGCUGUCGAUUUAGGAUGGGUCUGCGUCCUAUUAGUUAGUUGGUGAGGUAAUGGCUCACCAAGACUUCGAUGGGUACCCGGGCUGAGAGGCUGGUCGGGCACAUUGGAACUGAGAUACUGUCCAAACUCCUACGGGAGGCUGCAGUCGAGAAUCUUUCGCAAUGGGGGAAACCCUGACGACGCGACGCCGUGUGAGCGAUGAAGGCCUUCGGGUUGUAAAGCUCUGUCACUGGGGAGGAAUGUGUAGGAACUAAUACCUUCUACAUGAGACAUUACCUGGAGAGGAAGCACCGGCUAACUCCGUG
rnacentral:rRNA from 1 species